UGGCUCAGGACGAACGCUGGCGGCGUGCCUAAUACAUGCAAGUGGAACGCAUGAUUGAUACCGUAGCUUGCUACACCAUAAUCAUGAGUCGCGAACGGGUGAGUAACGCGUAGGUAACCUGCCUACUAGCGGGGGAUAACUAUUGGAAACGAUAGCUAAUACCGCAUAAGAGUUUUUAACACAUGUUAGAAAUUUAAAAGGAGCAAAUGCUUCACUAGUAGAUGGACCUGCGUUGUAUUAGCUAGUUGGUAAGGUAACGGCUUACCAAGGCGACGAUACAUAGCCGACCUGAGAGGGUGAUCGGCCACACUGGGACUGAGACACGGCCCAGACUCCUACGGGAGGCAGCAGUAGGGAAUCUUCGGCAAUGGGGGGAACCCUGACCGAGCAACGCCGCGUGAGUAGAAGAAGGUUUUCGGAUCGUAAAGCUCUGUUGUAAGAGAAGAACGUUGAGUAGAGUGGAAAGUUACUCAAGUGACGGUAUCUUACCAGAAAGGGACGGCUAACUACGUGCCAGCCGCUGC
rnacentral:rRNA from 1 species